UACGUAGGGCGCAAGCGUUAUCCGGAAUUAUUGGGCGUAAGGAGCUCGUAGGCGGUUUGUCGCGUCUGCCGUGAAAGUCCGGGGCUCAACUCCGGAUCUGCGGUGGGUACGGGCAGACUAGAGUGAUGUAGGGGGAGACUGGAAUUCCUGGUGUAGCGGUGAAAUGCGCAGAUAUCAGGAGGAACACCGAUGGCGAAGGCAGGUCUCUGGGCAUUAACUGACGCUGAGGAGCGAAAGCAUGGGGAGCGAACAGG
rnacentral:rRNA from 1 species